UGAGGGGCCCGCGUACCAAAAAAAAAAAAAGAAAGAAAAGAAAAUAGGACCCAGACACAUAGGCGGACGACCACAUGAGGAACUGGGGAGAAGCCGGCCUCGGGAGGAGCCACCCUGCCGACCCCUGGAUCUGGGACGUCCGGUCUCCAGGACGCUGAGACAGGAAAGCUUCUCUCUCCUGUUUCCCAAAGCCCGGUCAGCUCUGAGAUGGUGAGUGUCUCCUGCCGUUCUCCUUGCUUCCAGCCCAUCUUCCCCCCCCACCAGGCGUGGGAGGGGACCCGCUUCCCAUGUGGAUUCCAGAGCUCCCCUUCCUGCGCGUCUGGCCGCCCUCUGACCGUCUCACCCCACGCCCUGGCCCUGCGUCAAAAACGUAUCUGCUCUCCUGAUCUGGCGCCUUAUUUGUGGUUUCCAAGGGAAAGGAAAGCUCAGGAUUGCUUACUGAGCAGCAACGUGGUUUAGGAGCCAAGACUACAGACUCCGGAGCCAGAAAUCCCAGCCCUGCCGUGGACCCGCCGUGAGACUCUGGACAAGCUGCUUGGGCCCUCAGUGCCACGUCCUCCCUCACGGGGAUAAAGCCGUGAGAGGGGUCGUGUCGGCGCCAUGCCACGUCCGUCCGCAGUAACUGUUGAUUACUGUCGGUCCCCAAAGAAGCUCUCAGGUGAGUACAGUCGCCCUUCAGAAGAAACUGUUCAUUAAAUCAGGAGUAAAUAACGCGGCCUCUGCAGCUUCCAGUUUUCUGAAACGAGGGCUCCAGACACGGCGUCGUCCACUGUAUGCACGAGGCUGGGAAGCCUCGCCAGCUGGGUGGACAGCUGGCAUCCCGCCCACACUCCUUGGCCUCCCUGUUCGAGCCAACCACUGUGGAAAGUAUUUCCCUCAUCAGGGGACAUGUGCACCCGGCUUACCUGCUUCCAGACACCCGCACAUGUGGUCCUGCAGCCCGGCUGCCGCUGUAACUAGAUCUGGGGCUCGAUCCAUGCAGCCUGGAUGAGCCCAGGAGGCUGCUUGCUGGGCCUCCUGGGGCUGACGACGGUUAUCACGUUUGUGCUAAGCACAGCAGACCCCUAUCCAAGGGCGGGAAAAAGCCGCGAUUGUGAGACAAGCCCCAGAGCUGGAUCGAAGGGGCAGGAAAGUCUGGUGUAGACCAAGGCUCGCCCUGGUCCCUCUUUAUUCCCCCAUUCCCUCGGUGUUUGUCCAGGGCCUGUCCCGGAUCAGAUAGAGGUUAGGCACGUGGGAUGCAGAGGCUGCCGCCACGUGGGGGCUUCGUGGGAGAAAGUGGCCUCGUGUGCGAUGCGAAGGGCGACAGGCUUGAACUUGAGACUGCGGGGCAGGCAGCCUGUCUGAGGCUGGAACGGCGUGAGCUGAGGAGGUCGUGGAGCCGCCCGUGGGGCGCAGGAUGCAGGCUGAAUGGGGGGUGGCAGCGGGGGCCGGGAGGAUCCUUCCACUGUCGGCCUGGGAGGUGGCCGUGAAGGUCGAGGUGAAGAUGCUGGUGUGAGAAGGCCUGAGAGGUGCAGCUGGCUGACUGUGGGGUGGGAGGGUGAGUACAGGGCCCGUCUCUCGUGAUGCACGUGUGAGGAAACCACGUGGCCUCGGAGAGUCAUUUCUGGAGUCAGUGGAUAAAGCAAGAAGCACGUCAGGGCAGAGCUGCCCCCAGUGACGGGUGGAUGGCUCCCCGGAGCGGCGGACCCCCCAGCUCCUCCCCGGGCGGCCCCCUGCCACUCCGGCCCUGAGGGCUCACGUUCACACUCGAGGGUCCCGGGUAGGGUCGGGGCUUCCCACGCCCGCCCAGACGAUUAAAGCCCCCGAGAGCUAGUUUGUGUGGAAGCUUCCGUCUGUUUUUACGCACUUCGGGAGUUCAACUUGCGGAAUUCGUUCACUAAGUUCAUUUAAAGUGAUCAGUGAUAAACCCAUCACGUGUUAACGUUUUGUGAACAAUAGACAUUUUCUGAGGCAGAGUUGUAGCGUGGACAGUGGUGGUGGUUCGCAUCUUUGCGAGUGUCCACGUGCGGCCCCGUGGACGUCUGUGGCCAGGCUGUCCCCUCAGCGUCCUCCUUCUGACGCUUUGGCUGACGUGUGGGAAGGAAACCUAGCCGUGUGGCGGGGACGCGCUGGAACCACUUUCGGACGGUGUGGCUCUUGUUUGAAAGCACCUGAACUCUGCCCGUUGUGCUGUGAUCCCGGCGCCGGCAGUGAGCUUCCCGCAGUCUGCUCCACUGGCUUCCCUGGUCUGUCUGGUGCUUUGUGUCUUUGGUCCAGGCGGGGCUUUGUGACAUCCGCAUCGUCAUUUGGAAAAUAUUGCUUCACUGACUACACAGAGCUUCCAAAUGCUGACGUUUCUUUUUUAUAUAUAUAAAAAUUUAUUUAUUUA